AUUGAACGCUGGCGGCAUGCUUUACACAUGCCAGUCGAACGGUAACAGGCCGCAAGGUGCUGACGAGUGGCGAACGGGUGAGUAAUGCAUCGGAACGUGCCCAGUCGUGGGGGAUAACUACUCGAAAGAGUAGCUAAUACCGCAUACGAUCUAUGGAUGAAAGCGGGGGACCGUAAGGCCUCGCGCGAUUGGAGCGCCCGAUGUCAGAUUAGGUAGUUGGUGGGGUAAAGGCUCACCAAGCCAACGAUCUGUAGCUGGUCUGAGAGGACGACCAGCCACACUGGGACUGAGACACGGCCCAGACUCCUACGGGAGGCAGCAGUGGGGAAUUUUGGACAAUGGGCGCAAGCCUGAUCCAGCAAUGCCGCGUGCAGGAAGAAGGCCUUCGGGUUGUAAACUGCUUUUGUACGGAACGAAACGGCUCUGGUUAAUACCCGGGGCUAAUGACGGUACCGUAAGGAUAAGCACCGGCUAACUACGUG
rnacentral:rRNA from 1 species